rnacentral:lncRNA from 1 species
CUCCCUUUAUCCACCACGACCGACCCUAGCACCACCAAUCGCCACACUUUUAGCCAUUGUCGCAUUGCCUCUUCUCUCAUUUUUCUUUUUCCAUUGUCGUCGUCAAUCGUCAUCAUGACCAUCGCUGCGUGCCACUGCAGGUUUCACUCCUCCUCCAUUUUUAUUUUCUUACACCUUCCCAUUGUGCCAAACCACUCUAGUUUCUUUCUUUAACUCAUCGUCGAACAACCAUCCCUUCGUCGUUAGAUUGACAUCGUAUCAUUGCCAAACCAUCGCUGUCACCGUCGUAAUUGUCGCCGUCGUCGUCUUCCCUUUUCUUCCUCCUCUAUUUUCCUUGUCAUUCCUCAUAUUGAUUAAACUUACACUCUCUCUUUACUCUAACGAUUCUUUUAGAUCACUCAACCCUCCAGUCUCGUUCCUCAUUUGAUUCAUUAUCCACCCAAAUUUAAUCAAGUUGUAAGUGUGG